GCGGGCAAAGUUCGCGCCGGUGCCCCGCAAGGGGCUUAAUACGGGAACCCGGUAGAGUUUUGCUCGAAAGAGUUUGCUCGAUUCCGGGGCUGUCCCUGCAACUGUAAGCGGUGAGCGCGAUGCACAUUCGCGGCGGGACAAUCGCUUCCCGACGCAGCCACUGGGCCGGACGCUAAAUCCUGCGAGGCCUGGGAAGGCCGUGCAUCACGCCCUGACCCGCGAGCCAGGAAACCUGCCUGCGUCGAUGUCGCUCU
rnacentral:ncRNA from 2 species